UACGUAGAGGGCAAGCGUUGUCCGGAAUCAUUGGGCGUAAAGCGUACGUAGGCGGUCUAGUAAGUCAGAGGUGAAAUCCACCGGCUCAACCGGUGAACUGCCUUUGAUACUGUUAGACUUGAGGAUAAGAGAAGAAAGCGGAAUUCCUAGUGUAGCGGUGAAAUGCGUAGAUAUUAGGAAGAAUACCGAUGGCGAAAGCAGCUUUCUAACUUAUUCCUGACGCUCAGGUACGAAAGCUAGGGUAGCAAACGGGAUUAGAUACCCCGGUAGUCCUAGCCGUAAACGAUGGAUACUAGGUGUUGGGGGUUCGACCCCCUCGGUGCCGCAGUUAACGCAUUAAGUAUCCCGCCUGGGGAUUACGACCGCAAGGUUGAA
rnacentral:rRNA from 1 species